CUACGGGAGGCAGCAGUGGGGAAUCUUAGACAAUGGGCGAAAGCCUGAUCUAGCCAUGCCGCGUGAGUGAUGAAGGCCUUAGGGUCGUAAAGCUCUUUCGCCAGGGAUGAUAAUGACAGUACCUGGUAAAGAAACCCCGGCUAACUCCGUGCCAGCAGCCGCGGUAAUACGGAGGGGGUUAGCGUUGUUCGGAAUUACUGGGCGUAAAGCGCACGUAGGCGGAUCAGAAAGUUGGGGGUGAAAUCCCAGGGCUCAACCCUGGAACUGCCUUCAAAACUCCUGGUCUAGAGUUCGAGAGAGGUGAGUGGAAUUCCAAGUGUAGAGGUGAAAUUCGUAGAUAUUUGGAGGAACACCAGUGGCGAAGGCGGCUCACUGGCUCGAUACUGACGCUGAGGUGCGAAAGUGUGGGGAGCAAACAGGAUUAGAUACCCUGGUAGUCCACACCGUAAACGAUGAAUGCCAGUCGUCGGGUAGUAUACUGCUCGGUGACACACCUAACGGAUUAAGCAUUCCGCCUGGGGAGUACGGUCGCAAGAUUAAAACUUAAAGGAAUUGACGGA
rnacentral:rRNA from 1 species